rnacentral:lncRNA from 1 species
CGCAAAGGCAUAGUGCAGGUUCAGUAGCAUAGCCUGUGUGGCUUGUGGUUCAUGAAUCAGACUGCCUAAUCCCGGGAACCACAAGGGACAUCUGUAAAUCCAUUGGCCAGUUCCUGAGUCCACAGAUUUACAACUUGAGGUGGCCUGCACCAGACCCACGGGGCAAUAACAGUCUUCCAUUGAAUUCUUUAGCAGUUUCUACAAUUGCAUAAGUUAACAAGAUCAACCUUGCUGGGAAAUGAACAAGCGACCAGAUGAGGGAAUGGAGGCUUAGAGAGGAAGAAUGGUCCAAGAUGGUGCAGCAAAUGGCAGCCUCAGGAAGAGGAUCCUGACCAGUUCCCUGAAAGGACUGCGUGCAAUUCUACUUGGAGAUCUUCAUAACACCUUAAGGGAAAAAUCCUUUUUGAAAGAAAAACAAGUCUGGGUGGUGCUUGAAAAUUCAGAAGGCAGCUAGAAACUCUGCCAAUUACAACUGGUGAUUGCUGAGUUCUGGAGACAGACUGGGCUUCUGCUUUCUUUUGGUGGAGGUGUCUGCUUGCAGAAAAUUUAUGUUCUGGGAUUUACAACUUCAGGGAGACAAAGGAAACUCCAGCUCAUCUCCCACAUCAUUGAUUGAGAGGACCAUUUUCUGACUGUCUGCACACGUUUCCUAUACUACCCUUUAAUGCAACAAUGGGAUGAAGAGAUGAAGACUUCUAGCAGGCUACCUCAGAAAGGUUGCUGACCAAAGGCUGUAUGGACCAAAAAGUCAUAACACCACCCUGGAUGAAAGGACAUUUACCUAAGGAAUUACCCGCUCUCAAUUCUUCCCAGGGAUGGGCAUUUGAAUUAUUUCCAGUUUUUGGCUAUUAUGAAAAAAACUGCUAUGAACAUUCAUACACAAGUGUGUGUGUGGACCCAUGUUUUCACUGAUCAAGGCCUAAAUACCUACGGUAAGUAUACAUUUAACCUUAUAAGAAAAUGCAAAACUAUUUUUCCAAAGUAGUAUCAUUUUACAUUUCUUCUAACAACAUAUGAGAAUGGCAGUUGCUCUACUAAUAUGGUUUGGCUUUGUGUCCCCACC